CGUAGGGUGCGAGCGUUAAUCGGAAUUACUGGGCGUAAAGUGUGCGCAGGCGGCAGAGCAAGUCGAGUGUGAAAGCCCCGGGCUUAACUUGGGAAUUGCGCUCGAAACUACUUUGCUGGAGUGUGGCAGAGGAAGGUGGAAUUCCACGUGUAGCGGUGAAAUGCGUAGAGAUGUGGAGGAACACCAAUGGCGAAGGCAGCCUUCUGGGCCAACACUGACGCUCAUGCACGAAAGCGUGGGGAGCAAACAGGAUUAGAUACCCUGGUAGUCCACGCCCUAAACGAUGACGACUAGUUGUUGGAGGAGUUAAAUCCCUUAGUAACGCAGCUAACGCGCGAAGUCGUCCGCCUGGGGAGUACGGUCGCAAGAUUA
rnacentral:rRNA from 1 species